UUUUCCUCUGUUGAAUUCUUGC
rnacentral:miRNA from 1 species